CCCCUGCGGAUCCAGGAAAGGAGGAUACUGUUUCGGGCAGAGAGUCUGCUGCAGUCAGAACUGCGUGAUCGUCUCGGACAGUGAGCCACCUGCCAAAGCCCUGCGAGCCCCAGAAAAAGCUGUGUGGGGACCCGGGCUUCUGCGCAUCCUCCAGCUUGUGCUGUCACAUUGCACUCUGUCAUCAAUGGAAUACGGCAGAACUGAUGACUGACAACCCAAACUGAACCUAGACUUUGAGAAGUCUCGCACACGUCUGCUUGGUGCUUGGCUCCUUUGCCUUACCACAAGGACAAGCUCAGCUUAGCCUACCCCACUGGGGGAUGAGAGACCAGCUGGAGCAGAACAAGACUCAGCUGAGCCAUCAGCUAAUCACAGGUGCAUUUGAGAUGCCUGGUCGUAGGAGGACUACUGCUUCUUUCACAUCAUGAUUAUGAUCCAGGCAAGAGAAAGUCCGAAGGGGCCAACCAUUUCUCCUUCAUAUUCCUAUAGACUUGGCAGCUGACCACAGAGUGACUGCUAA